AUUGAGCCUUGAUGUGUAGGAUAGGUGGGAGGCUUUGAAGUGUGGACGCCAGUCUGCAUGGAGCCGACCUUGAAAUACCACCCUUUAAUGUUUGAUGUUCUAACGUGGACCCGUGAUCCGGGUUGCGGACAGUGUCUGGUGGGUAGUUUGACUGGGGCGGUCUCCUCCUAAAGAGUAACGGAGGAGCACGAAGGUUGGCUAAUCCUGGUCGGACAUCAGGAGGUUAGUGCAAUGGCAUAAGCCAGCUUGACUGCGAGCGUGACGGCGCGAGCAGGUGCGAAAGCAGGUCAUAGUGAUCCGGUGGUUCUGAAUGGAAGGGCCAUCGCUCAACGGAUAAAAGGUACUCCGGGGAUAACAGGCUGAUACCGCCCAAGAGUUCAUAUCGACGGCGGUGUUUGGCACCUCGAUGUCGGCUCAUCACAUCCUGGGGCUGAAGUAGGUCCCAAGGGUAUGGCUGUUCGCCAUUUAAAGUGGUACGCGAGCUGGGUUUAGAACGUCGUGAGACAGUUCGGUCCCUAUCUGCCGUGGGCGCUGGAGAACUGAGGGGGGCUGCUCCUAGUACGAGAGGACCGGAGUGGACGCAUCACUGGUGUUCGGGUUGUCAUGCCAAUGGCACUGCCCGGUAGCUAAAUGCGGAAGAGAUAAGUGCUGAAAGCAUCUAAGCACGAAACUUGCCCCGAGAUGAGUUCUCCCUGAGACUUUAGGUCUCCUGAAGGAACGUUGAAGACGACGACGUUGAUAGGCCGGGUGUGUAAGCGCAGCGAUGCGUUGAGCUAACCGGUACUAAUGAACCGUGAGGCUUAACCUUACAACGCCGAAG
rnacentral:rRNA from 1 species